rnacentral:rRNA from 1 species
UGGGGAAUAUUGCACAAUGGGCGCAAGCCUGAUGCAGCCAUGCCGCGUGUAUGAAGAAGGCCUUCGGGUUGUAAAGUACUUUCAGCGGGGAGGAAGGGAGUAAAGUUAAUACCUUUGCUCAUUGACGUUACCCGCAGAAGAAGCACCGGCUAACUCCGUGCCAGCAGCCGCGGUAAUACGGAGGGUGCAAGCGUUAAUCGGAAUUACUGGGCGUAAAGCGCACGCAGGCGGUUUGUUAAGUCAGAUGUGAAAUCCCCGGGCUCAACCUGGGAACUGCAUCUGCUACUGGCAAGCUUGAGUCUCGUAGAGAGGGGUAGAAUUCCAGGAGUAGCGGUGAAAUGCGUAGAGAUCUGGAGGAAUACCGGUGGCGAAGGCGGCCCCCUGGACGAAGACUGACGCUCAGGUGCGAAAGCGUGGGGAGCAAACAGG